CCGUGAAGCCCAGGUAAUGUCUUUUGGCUUCAACAUGUGUAAUCCUGGCAAGAAGAAAAUGCAAAUACAUGUCUGAGGUCUUUUAGUUUCUACUAGUGACAGCCACUGUCUGUUUAGGAACAUGGUGAGAGGUCUCCUCUGGACGAACAAAGAGCAUCUCUGUGGUGGAGCCAAACUAGACUACGGAAACUGGGGAGCAGUUACAGAGGUUUUGGGGUCCUGCUGGUACAGAGAUCACAGCGGUUCUGGCUGGGCGUGAUGGGGCUCCUCAGCAAACAGUCCCCGCGCUGUCCCCACUCAGCCCCUGUUGCUGGAGGAUGUGGGGGGGCUGCUCUCCAUUUUUAUUUUAGGCCCAUUAUUGCAGAGUUUGAUCAAUUUAACAAGUGCUUCCGUCCUGCUGGUAUGCAAGAAAGCAACUGCUCUUGUGAUUUCACCUAUUUUGGCAUUCUCCUUUUUAAAUGCAGCAAUAAAUACAACAGGGCGUGACUUGGAGUAACGUAUGAGAUCCGCGCUUGGGCUGCCACCAGUUCCCGCGCCCACCUCUUGACCUCCGUCCCCCGCCCCUGCCCCGCACAGCCCGGGCGGCCCCUGCGGGCUCCGGGGCGGGAGGGGCCGGGUGUCACUCACUCCACCCCGCAGACACCGGGGGUUCCCUUCGGGCGGGCACCGCUCACUGUGCCGCGGGCCGCCGGCUCCCGCCCAGCGCUGAGGGACGGCGGCCACGCCCGCGCUGAGCUCCCCUCAGCGCCCCGCGGGAGCCGGCCGGGCCGCGGCCCCUCAGCGGCGGCGGCAGCGGGUCCCUCGGCGGGCGGCAGAGGGCGCCCCGCAUCCCGGCAGAGCGGGGCCGGGAGGAGCCUCCGGCGCGGCGCGGCCGGGGAGGAGGAGGGAGGGAAGGAGCUGCCACGUCCUCUGCGCCGAGCGGUGAGGGAAGCCAGCCCGCGGCUCAGCCCCACGUGUGGCGGAGCGGGAAGUUGCCGGCGGCCAGCUCGGGCUCUGCCCCUCUGCCAGCGCUGCCCGUCCCUCCGUUGCUUGCACAGGCAACCACUUGAAGGAGGAGUUCACUUCUUAUUUCAAAAGACCUUGGACUGUUUUCUGCUGCUCACCUCCCUUCGCUCCCCCAUUCUGGUGAACAAAAGACCUGAAGAGGAGGAUGAGGCAGCUAAGAGGAAAACCCAAGAAAGAGACCUCGAAAGAUAAAAAGGAGAGAAAACAGGCGAUGCAAGAGGCCCGGCAACAGAUCACCACGGUGGUGCUUCCCACGCUGGCUGUUGUAGUUGUGCUCAUUGUUGUGUUUGUUUAUGUAGCAACUCGUCCAAAUACAACCGAAUGAUGCAGCUUUUCAGACUUUCUGGCUUUGGGGUAUUAAUAAUUUUAUCAAGAGCCAAAAGGAACUCUGUGCCGCUCUCCUAGUACUUUACAAAGGAACUUGCUGGUAUUUUCAGUCUUCUCUUGGUUAGGGUCCCGCAGAUUCUCUUUAAGAAUGUAACAUAAAACGUAUUAGUGAAUGUGCCAGUACGUUUUAUGGUCCAGUUCAUGUGCCUUUCAGACUUUUCAAAUGGUGUUUUUCUUAAAUCUGUUUGAAGCUCUAUAUUGUAAAAGGAAAUUGUGUUCUGCUACAAAUUUGUAAAAAAAUCAGCUUUCAGCUUUUAUCACUGUUACGGAUAAUGUUGCUCCCAUGAGCUCUUGUAUGUCUGUUUCAGAACUUCCAAAGAAGUACGUUUCUUCUUUGUACUUAAUGUCAUAUGAAGUGCUUUGAUUCAGAAAGGAUAUAUUUAUUUUUUGAAUAAAAGAGAGAAGUCUUACUUGGAAUCUUCAAAUUAUUUUGCAAAGAAAUGUGACAUAUUGUGAAAGCCUACAUUGUGUAAUGAGUUUUUCAUUAAACACUAUAUAGUUCACUCAAAAAGAAUGUUCUUUUUGCUGUGAGAUGCCAACAUGCAAAGUGUUCAGGAUCCACCAGAAGGAAUCUUGCAGAGGUUGGAAAGGGAAAUUCUACCAGUCUCUGGUGGCAACAAACUACAUAAAUACAGGUAGUUGUUCAUCUGAAUGUUCAAUAUUUAAAUCUGUAUAAAGUGGCAAUAAAAAGGUGAUUUUGCAUACA